GGCCUGCCGCCGCCACCGCCUCAGGGAAGAGGAAGGAGGCCGCGGCUUCGCGUCCCGCCUCUCGCCUGGCUGGCCGUGGGGGGCCUGGACGCAGUGGCCUCCCGAAUCUCCCAGGACCCUAAUAUCGCCCGAGGAUGCUGGGAGGAACGCUGAGCCGACCUCUCCGUUAGGCUGAAGAUUGCACAAACCAUGCUAAUGGCCAGCAUGGAUGGAGGGAGCGUGUGAGAUGUGUGGGGCAGCGUGCUGCAUCUCAGCCAACUCCAGGAGGCCAAGCUAUAAAUAAAGGGUGGACUGACCUUGUCAACUGUUAAAUUGGAGCCGUGGUGCGUUGCCUAGAACAUUGCGGAUGACCCCGAGCAGCACAGCAGAUCAACGGCUGAGAAAGAGCUCAUUCAGCUCAUCUAACUAGGAUGCUGUCCUGCCAGAGCCCUGGGGGUUCUCGUCUCCUGGGGCAAAAGCAGCAUGCAACCCUUAUGAACCCAUCUUGGAAGGCAUUCGGGGAGCCCAAGACAAGACCAUUGGGAGCCUCAGGGUCACUUGUGGGGGUCUCUGUGCUGGACGGCUGUACCUCUCAUGAAAUGGACAACUGACCAUAAGAAGGAGGUUAGCCUUUGUGGCUUGGGCAUCCAGCCUUUCAGAGAUAUGAAACCACACACGUCUUCAGAGUGAACAGCUGCUCACCCCGAUGUGCUCAAGGGGUGCAGGAUGUGGACACAUCCUACUGAAUGAGCCAGACAACGUAACUGGAUCUGUCCAGAACACCACGAUGGGUGACAUUGCCAUCUGCAGCAGUGCUGUACUUCCUCCCGCCAAUUUGUAAAGUGCAGACAGGAUGCUGGAUCAACUGGCUGCUGCUGAGGCCAGUGACCUCUAGGGCGUAUUCCCACGUUCCUUUGCAGUAGCUGCUCACCUUUGUAAGCAUGUGAGUUAUUCGUGCUGUCUGUUGUGAUCCUAAGGAAUCCAAUGGUCAGGACCAGAACUUCUGAAGUACAGCCCAGCAUUGCCGUCUGGCAUCCCCAGAAAGCAGAUUUUGAGAUUGGCAUGAUGGCCGUUAAGCAGGGCGUUCUCUCUGGAGCAAUGUCUAGCCGGGGUCGGAGUGGGGAGAGAGAGAGGGGGGCUGCUGAGAAUAUCACAGAGAGAUGGCAGCCUUUCUGCAGCAUAGGCCUAAGUGCACACUCACCUGGCUAUCACUGAGAGGACUCUCUGUUCAACAGGGCCACUCAGGGCUUCCCCUGCAUGGAGAUCUGAGUGUCCAGGGAGGGGACGUGGUGAGCAUUUCUCUGGUCAAAGUGUGCAAAGCAAAAUCUGCCCCAUUCCUGCCAAAGUGGUUGACAUGGAGGAAAGGGGAGUGCCAGUUCUGUAGGCUGAGGUGGUGGCUGUUAGAACUGCUCCUAGGCUAGUUGGUGUUCUGGAAGGUUCCCCUCUAUGUGAGAUGAAAGAGCAUAUCUUUAAGAGCUGCAACUUUGAAGCUCUAAUAUAGAAUGCUUUUGGUGGCAAGCAUUACUUCGGAAAGGGCUUGAAGACCCCUGAAGAUCCUUGGUGGCCUAGGCAGUUCCUUUAUUGCCAGGGCUGUGCAGGACUAAGCUUCAACAGCGCCACCAUGUGACAAGAAGCAAUUGCAGUGGUGCAUUGAGGGUUUUCUUUUGCACUGAGAACUCAAGUCCCACUUUCACCCUUGGACCUGGUAAAUCUUUGGGGUUCAUGGACAAUUCUGAGGAGGAGAUACUUAAGAGAGUGAUGUUAGAAUUUGAUGUUUUGGUUUAUUGUAUCAGAAAAUAAAAGAAAUUGGAUUUAUAGCUCA
rnacentral:lncRNA from 1 species